UUAGUUUCAAAGUAGAUUGGAUUAACCAACUUUAAAAAAAUGGAGCUGAAACGGGGAGUAGGAACAGGAAUUCAAAACAAACACAAGAACGAAGGGGAAAAACAGAAUAAGAAUGCCUGAUUGAUUGCAGUUUUUGACAAAUCCGGCAUAAAUCUGAGGAGUAAAAAGUGAAGAAUGAUGAUGACAAGAAUAGUGGCUGGAAAAUGGAGGUUCUCCAUUUCAUUGCUUCCAUCGCAGUUGAACUACUCGGCCACUUUCAUUUCAAGACCUCAACUGCUUAUUCCUCCUGCACAACAAUCUUAUAAUUCAGAUACAGGCUAUCAGACACUUGUGCAGAUUCUUGAAGCAUGCAAGUCCUCUCAUGAUUUGAGAACUGUGAUCGCAAUGCAUGCUAAGAUUGUUAAACAUGGGUAUGGGAUGUACCCAUCUAUGUUGUCAUUGUUGAUAUCCAUAUAUGUUACCUGUCAAUGCCGCAACCUUGCUUGCGAAUUGCAGAAGGAAAUUUCGUACCGGAAUGUUGAUAUUGUCUCUGCAAAUUUAAUCAUUUCAAGUUUCAUGAAGAUAGGAGAAAUUAAUAUUGCCAAGAAGAUAUUUCAGAAUGUGCCUUCCCGUGAUGUAGUCACUUGGAACUCGCUGAUUGGAGGUUGUGUAAAAAAUGCUUCAUUUCAGGAAGCAUUGAGUACUUUCAGAGAGAUGUUGAGAAGACAAAUUGAACCAGAUGGAUUUACAUUUGCAUCUACUAUUGCUGCAUGUGCUAGACUUGGAGCUCUUCAUCAUGGGAAGUGGAUACAUAGUAUGAUGAUAGAGAAAAGAAUUGAACUAAAUUACAUCUUAUCUUCUGCAUUGGUAGACAUGUAUGCAAAAUGUGGGCAAAUUAACACUGCAAAAGAAAUUUUUGAUGGUGUCCAACGCACUGAUGUUUCUAUAUGGAAUGCGAUGAUUAAUGGAUUAGCAAUUCAUGGCCUUGCUUUGGAUGCUAUUGCAAUAUUCUCAAGGAUGAAAGGGGAAAAUGUCUUGCCCAAUUCAAUAACUUUUAUUGGGAUUCUAACUGCAUGUAGCCAUUGUGGCUUGGUUGAAGAGGGUCGCAAAUAUUUUGAUCUGAUGAGAACCUUAUACUUGAUCCAGCCACAGCUUGAGCACUAUGGAGCCAUGGUUGACCUGUUGGGGAGAGCUGGACGUCUAGAAGAAGCCUAUGGAAUAAUUAAGGAAAUGACUGUCGAACCUGAUAUUGUUAUAUGGAGAGCAUUACUCAGCGCCUGCAGAAUGCAUAAGAACUCUGAGUUGGGUGAAGUAGCCAUUGAAAAGAUUUCACAUCUUAGUAGUGGAGAUUAUGUUUUAAUGUCAAAUAUUUACUGCUCCAUCAAAAAGUGGGACAGCUCUGAGGGGAUGAGAUACAUGAUGAAGGAAAACGGUGUUCGUAAAUGUAGUGGAAAAAGUUGGCUGGAAUUUGGUGGUGCAAUUCACCAAUUCAAUGCUGGUGACAAAUCACAUUGUGAGGCUAUUCUGAUAGACAAAGUGUUGGAAUCAUUGAUCCAUAGAACCAAAAUAGAGGGGUUUAUGUCUGAAACAGACUUGGUUUUUAUGGAUGUUUCUGAGGAGGAAAAGGAGGAAAACUUGAAUUAUCACAGUGAAAAGUUGGCUGUGGCCUAUGGGAUACUAAAAUCAAGUCCUGGGGCUGAAAUUCUGAUAUCCAAAAACCUUCGGACUUGUCUUGAUUGCCACUCCUGGAUGAAAGUUGUAUCAAAGCUAUUAAACAGGGUGAUAAUUGUGAGGGACAGGAUUCGAUUUCACAGGUUUGAGCGUGGAACCUGUACCUGCAGAGACUAUUGGUAGUCACUCUUGAUUAAGCUGGGCCAUUAUAUUUGUGCUCGGACCAAGGAGUUGCCCUGGCUCUUCAGUGGAUCUUUGAGAUAAGAGUUCCUGAUCGAUUAAUUUUCAUGUUCUGCUGCAAAAGAAAGAGUAGAAGAUCCAUCAAUUUGUCAACAACUUGUUGCGAAGUUCAUCUGCAGGGUAGAGUGAAAUUUUGCGGCUGUCAAGUUACAUAUUCAAUUUAACAUGUGAAAAAGGUUUUAGUGUCAGCCUGGAGUGGUACAGCCAUUCUGAAUUUGCAUGUUCUAAAGAGCCCAAAUUAUAUAAAGAUAAAUGCUUGCUUAAUCUGGUAGCUGACUCUGUAACAUGAGCAUCUGCUAUGGAGAAGUGAAAUAGAUCCCCCAAGUUUGAAAAUGGAAGCAGCCAAAGCGAAAUAAUGAAAUGUUGCCAGCUUGAAAGGGCCUGCUUUUUGGUCCACUGGAGUUGGACUAAAUUUGCUGGUGGUCUUUAACCCCAUCAUGAUCCUAGUGACACAAAUCGUUUUGUCUCCUUGGAGAGUUGCAGUUUGCUGGAAAUUUUUGUGCUUCUUUGGACCUGAGUGUGGUGUUGGUGUAACUGUGCAAGGCUACUUGGAAUGUGCUGUUCAUUUCUAAUCCUGCUUUGUCUUUGUUGUCUGCAACUAUAUGGAUUCACUGCUUCAGCAUGAUUAGGAAAUUAUAAACUUAUGAGAUAGAUAGCGUUGAGGGCUUGGAAAACUAGGAGGAUCCAAUAGUCUAAUCUUGUGUGGAGGAUCAAUUUUAUCUUCUUCUUAUCAAAGAUUCCUCCUCGAAUUCCUUUUUUUUUUUUUUUAAAGCUUCUCCUUGAAUUCUUAAUUGGAUAAACUGA